rnacentral:rRNA from 1 species
UUCCGGUUGAUCCUGCCGGAGGCCAUUGCUAUCGGGGUCCGAUUUAGCCAUGCUAGUCGCACGGGUUCAGACCCGUGGCAGAUAGCCCAGUAACACGUGGCCAAACUACCCUACAGACCGGGCCAACCUCGGGAAACUGAGGCUAAUCCCGGAUACGGCUCGCUGCCUGGAGUGGCGCGAGCCCGAAACGUUCCGGCGCUGUAGGAUGUGGCUGCGGCCGAUUAGGUAGACGGUGGGGUAACGGCCCACCGUGCCGAUAAUCGGUACGGGUUGUGAGAGCAAGAGCCCGGAGACGGUAUCUGAGACAAGAUACCGGGCCCUACGGGGCGCAGCAGGCGCGAAACCUUUACACUGCACGCCAGUGCGAUAAGGGGACCCCGAGUGCGAGGGCAUACAGUCCUCGCUUUUGUACACCGUAGGGAGGUGUACGAAUAAGGGCUGGGCAAGACCGGUGCCAGCCGCCGCGGUAAUACCGGCAGCCCGAGUGAUGGCCGUUAUUAUUGGGCCUAAAGCGUCCGUAGCCGGCCAGACAGGUCCGUCGGGAAAUCCACGCGCCCAACGCGUGGGCGUCCGGCGGAACCCAGCUGGCUUGGGACCGGACGACCCGAGGGGUACGUCCGGGGUAGGAGUGAAAUCCCGUAAUCCUGGACGGUCCGCCGGUGGCGGAAGCGCCUCGGGAGGACGGAUCCGACGGUGAGGGACGAAAGCCAGGGUCACGAACCGGAUUAGAUACCCGGGUAGUCCUGGCCGUAAACGAUGUCUGCUAGGUGUGGCACAGGCUACGCGCCUGUGCUGUGCCGCAGGGAAGCCGCGAAGCAGACCGCCUGGGAAGUACGUCCGCAAGGAUGAAACUUAAAGGAAUUGGCGGGGGAGCACUACAACCGGAGGAGCCUGCGGUUUAAUUGGAUUCAACGCCGGA